rnacentral:lncRNA from 1 species
CGCCCCUUGAUAAUAUUUAUAAUUCACUUGUUGCAUAUUGGUUUCAUAUAUCAUUUUUCUCAAUUAGGAAAUGAAAGAUGAUUAGUUUCCCCUUUGGAUUAUUUAGCCUAUAAAAUUUUCUGUUACACCAUUUGCUUUACAUUGAAAAUGCAUCCUAAAUCCUGAACCACAUUGGAAUUCUUUAUGACCUUUCCCUUGGUGGUACCUUUUGAAGUCCUGAAAUGUUUUUAUAUUUGAUUGAAAUUUAAUCUGGGUUUCAUUUUACUUUUUAAAACAUAUUGAGCAAGUUAAUUUUCUCUUCGAGUUCCUAAGGGGAAUGAUUCUAGCCCUCUGUGUCCCAAGAAUUCAGACUGAGCCUUGCCAGAACAUUCCUGUGGUUUUCCACAGGGCAGAUCACUGUGUUCAUGAAAUUUUAGUUGUAGCUUGUGUUUUCUGCGGUUAAUUAAAACAUCUGGCUCUUUCAUUUUCCACGAACAGAAUAUAAUCGCUUGGCUGAACAUUUUCAAUAACGAUUAAAUGCCUCAGUCCUCCUUUAGGAUAGCCCAAACUUGUCUUUCGGACACCUUAUACGCUGUUGUCUCUGUUCAUUAAUGAUUUUAAACAGUUGGAAAACAUUUGGGGUUAUCCUGCCAAAUGUAGACUCUUGAGAGGGAGAAGGGGAGAGAGAGAGAGAGAGAGUUUGUGAAUACGAAUCCCUCUAAUGGCCUGGCUUUUCCAGAGAGAUAGAUAGAGAGAGAGAGAGUUUGUGAAUACAGAUCUCUCCAGUGGCUCUGGCUUUUCCAGAAAGAGAGAGAGAGAGUGAGUUUGUGAAUAUGAAUCCCUCCAAUGGCUCUGGCUUUUCCCCUGCAGGUCGGAGCUGCUGUGGGUGCGCUGCUGUGGUCUGUGGCCAAGCAUGCUGCUGUGGCCGGAUCUGCCCAGCUGUGGAACAGAGACAUUUGCCGGAUGGAAAAUCCAUAAAAGAAAGCUCCUGUGAAAGCCGGAGACAGACGCUAAGUAAAAUCAGAUGAAGCAGAAUCAGAUCAACCCAGUCACAUUCAGUGAACCAGUACAAGAACGAAGAGAGUAUCCAGAAUCUGCUUUCAUUUGGAGAAACCACAUUUUUGUGUAGAUGUGUAGUGGAGAUGUUUAUGAUAAAUGUUAGUAGAGUUUGGCAUAUUACAUCUGUUGAUUUUUUGCUUGUCUUUAUAGUUUUUAUGUGAAAUAAUCGUGAAUUAUUAGGUUUCCUUAAAAAGCCUUCAAAGAUACCAUACUCGAGUGACUUAUAAUCAAUUGUUAUUUAUUUUAAUGUAAUUACUAAUAUAAGAACAAGCAGUCGUUUCUCAGUCCUAUAUUGACCUGUA